rnacentral:lncRNA from 1 species
CCCCACUUUCCUAACCUCUCCAAUUGACAAUUACCAAACGUAAAGCUUACCGGAAGCAAAAAUCAAGAAAGGGGAAGGAAAAAAAUAAAUCCGAUUUUUGAUGAAAUUUGGAAGUGUAAAUACAGUUCGACGAACACUCAUAAUUCGAUUGUGAAUGAGAGCUGCCAAUUGUAAGAUUAAACAGCUGCUUCAGUUUCCAAGGUACAACUUUCUUCUUCGAUUGAUUUUCUAUCAGCAAUUAUUUUAUCAUAUAUAAUGCGUAUAUUCUAUGAUUUCUAUCAGCAACACAUUAGGGUUUUGACACAUUUCUGCUCCUAGUUUCGUCUAUAGUUUGAUCUUUUUGAUGUUUCCUCUAUUGGGUUUCAAGUAUGCAAUUUGGAAAAUUCAUUUACUAAGAAAAAUUUCUCUUUCCUAAUUAGCAAAAAGUUUAUGGUGAUCAAAAUGGGUGGUGAUAAUAUUCAAAAUGGAACAUCUGUGCUGUUCUUGGUUGGAUAAUUAUAUUAAUUACCUCGUCAUUAAUAAUUAUUGGUGACCUUAGAAUAGGCACCAGUACUCAAGUCCCGCAUUCAUUACUUCCGUAAACGAAUUGUGAUCUAUGUAUACUAAUUGAUCUAUUCUGUAGUAUCUUAAAAUAUUUUAAAGGAGGGUUUUCUAUUUCACAGAUCUUGGUUUUGUUUCAUUUCCCACUAAAUAUGAAAUAAUAUCCUUCUAUAAAGUUGAGAGGGAAACUGUAUACUUACAAUUUUUUGUGUAGAUUGAAGUUGCUAUCUUGGUUCACUUUUGAUGCUAUAGUUUUAAAAUCAUUAGGUAAAAUUGCAGUUAUUGAACGUAUAGUAUUUUAGUAGCAAGUUUGUCACAACCAUUAACACGAGACUUUGGGUUUAAAAAGACAAUUUCUGUAACAAAAUUCAUUAAAAAGUCAGUGUUUUACUAAAAAAUUUUGGUUCUUGGCCGUGCCACGCCACCCUAGCCGAUCUAUCUCCCAUCUCUCCCCCAAACUUUGGUUCUUGGCCGUGCUUCCCCGUCUGUACCAUGGCUGCCAAACUUGAGAGACUAAAAAGUAGCACAAAGCUGGCUGACAAAUUUUCUGACUUCUGUUUUCACUGAAGCAUUAUUGAGGGGAUCAUCAUCUUAAGAGGUUUUGGAUUGCAUUUUCAGGUCUUUGAGUUUGCAUCUGCACCCUUAAGCAGUGGACCAGAUUAUUGAAGAUUACAAUCAUGUAAGUUUUGAUUGGAAGGUGAAAAAUGUAACGUAAUGGGCUGAACAUGGAUUGUUAAACUAUUAAGUCAUUUAUCCUGACAAAACUAGCCACUAUUCUCUACCAUACUAUAUUGACCUGUUUAAGUUUAAAUGUAGAAUCAUUUGUGUAAAGGCCAUAACAAUGUCCUGCAUUUUAUCACUUGAAACCCCUUCUUCUCCGAAUGCCGGCAACAGUUUUAAACUAGAAUUAUUUUUUCUCCUUUGGUAGGGGGAGGGGGAGAGUUUCUUGAGAAAAUGGUGUAACUGACAUUUAACGAAUUUUUGGAAGGAAACAUCUACCAGGACUACUUGUUCAACAGCUGUGGAAGGUUAAGGACAAAUAUGCUCCAAAAGGUGGGGAUCAACUUGCUACUAGAGCUGUAGGUUGGGAACCAACGGUGCAAAUUUUUGUAAUCAUUGUCUAGUUCAUUCUACUAUCUAAUAGG